GCCAGCGAUUACCCUACGUAGAAACCUUCGGUUCCGUCAGACCAUCGAGGUUAUGCUACGUCAGGCCGCGUUAUUACAAUUGGUGGUGACGGAUGAGGAAGGCUCGGGGUCGCAGGCC
rnacentral:rRNA from 1 species